UUAUGCGAUAACUGGUGUGAAUUGCAGAAUCCCGUGAACCAUCGAGUCUUUGAACGCAAGUUGCGCCCGAUGCCAUUAGGUUGAGGGCACGUCUGCCUGGGUGUCACAUAUCGAAGCCCAUUGCCGAUUUCCUACUCGUAGGUGUUGUGCUGGGUGAAUGAUGGCUUCCCGUGAGCUUCUUUGUCUCAUGGUUGGUUGAAAAUUGAGACCAUGGUAGGGUGUGCCAUGAUAGAUGGUGGUUGUGUGUCGCACGAGACCAAUCAUGCGCUGCCCUAUUGAAUUUUGGCCUCUUGUACCCAUUUGCGCUUCCAAACGCUCGUGAUGAGACCUCAGGUCAGGCGGGGCUACCCGCUGAAUUUAAGCAUAUCAAUAAGCGGAGGAAAAGAAACUAACAAGGAUUCCCUUAGUAACGGCGAGCGAACCGGGAUAAGCCCACCAUGAGAAUCGGUCGCCUUCGGCGUUCGAAUUGUAGCUGGGAAAAAGCGUCAA
rnacentral:rRNA from 1 species